GAUGAACGCUGGCGGCGUGCCUAAUACAUGCAAGUCGAGCGAACAGACGAGAGUGCUUGCACUCUCUGACGUUAGCGGCGGACGGGUGAGUAACACGUGGGUAACCUACCUAUAAGACUGGGAUAACUUCGGGAAACCGGAGCUAAUACCGGAUAAUAUUUAGCUUCGCAUGACGCAAUAGUGAAAGACGGUUCUGCUGUCACUUAUAGAUGGACCCGCGGUGUAUUAGCUAGUUGGUGAGGUAACGGCUCACCAAGGCAACGAUACAUAGCCGACCUGAGAGGGUGAUCGGCCACACUGGGACUGAGACACGGACCAGACUCCUACGGGAGGCAGCAGUAGGGAAUCUUCCGCAAUGGACGAAAGUCUGACGGAGCAAUGCCGCGUGAGUGAAGAAGGUUUUCGGAUCGUAAAACUCUGUUGUAAGGGAAGAACAAGUACGUUAGUAACUGAACGUACCUUGACGGUACCUUACCAGAAAGCCACGGCUAACUACGUG
rnacentral:rRNA from 1 species